rnacentral:rRNA from 1 species
GGUUAGACUAGAAGACCUAACUAUAUUAUUAAGGUAAAAAGGUGGUUAGAUGAACAAUAUUAUAAAAUGGCUUUUUAAUUUACUAUAAAAAAGUGGAAUUUUUAUAUAGAUAAAUAAAUCAAAAAUGGCUAUAAUGAAUUGAAUCCACUAUAACUUUGAGGGAAACUGGGAUUUGAUACCCCAUUAUUCUUAGUUGUAAAUAAACGCUUAGUUUACCAGAGUACUACGAAUAAUUCUAAAAUUUAAAACUCAAAGAGCUUGGCGGUAUUUUAGACCACUUAGGGGAACCUGUCUCAUAAUCGAUAAUCCACGAUAUACCUGACCUUUUAUUGCAACUACAGCCUGUACACCGUUGUCACCAGGUAACCUUUUAAAGAAAUUGAGUUAGCAACAAAAUUUACAAUGAAUUUAAAUGUCAAAUCAAGGUGCAGCUAAUGAAAAGGAGAGGAUGGGUUACAAUUAAGAUUUAUAAAAUGAAUCAAUUAGUGAAACUUGACUGUGAAGGAGGACUUAAAAGUAAAAUUAUAUAUAAAAAUAAUUUGAAUUAGGCUCUGAAAUGUGUACUAACCCCCG